rnacentral:lncRNA from 1 species
GGCGCUGUGGGCUGCUGGGCUCAGGCCUAGAGGCGCCCUUCAAAACGAACAGCCUGGGUGCUGUGGAGGGCACGUUGAUGGCAGCAAAAGGAAGACAGGCUACUGGACAGAAAGGGACGGGUCCCAGUGAAGCCCCACCUUCAAGCCAGGGAUGGCUUCAAUCCUGGAGGCCGCGCUGUCAGUUCCGGUCGGAGUCUGUGGCCUGGAGUGAGCACUAAUGGUUCUUUUUCCAGGCCCGCCCAUGGCCACCCAUGGACCAAUCAGCAUGCACUUCCUCCCUUCUGAACCCAUAAAAACCCCGCUCCCCGGACGCAGCCGGAGUCACGCGAAGUCGGAAGUACCAGCUGCGGGAAGGAGCUGCCCACUGUGCGUCUUCUCAACUUGUUGGGACAACCUUCCUGCGGAAAGGAGAGACAACCUUCCUGCAGAAAGGAGCUACCUGCUUCAGGUCUACUGAGAGCUGUUCUGCCACUCAAUAAAGCUCUUCUCCAUCUUGCUAAGCCUCCAUUUGUCCGCAAUACCUCAUCUCCCUGGACGCAGGACAAGAACUCAGGACCCGCCUGGAGGUACUAAAAGAGCUUUAACACAAACAGGGCUGAAACACGCUCCCUUGCUUGCCACAUUGCGGGUGACGAGAAGGAGAAAAGAGCUGUGUUCCUUUGAGGAUCCCAGACCUAGGGUCUCCCUGAGCCAGGGCUGUGACACUCCCUUUGGGGUUCUAUGGUUCCUGGCAUCUUCAAGCUUCCAGGCGCCACCACCUUCGUUCCCUUCAUCCAAACAGGUGCCCACAGCAGAAUCCACAUGCCGUCCAUCUGGUCCAGCCUCACGCAGAGCCACAACUGUGCUGGCGCCUGGAGCUGCCAGCCCCACUGCAGCAGCCGGACUGACAUUCAGACGUGGAGCAAGUUGGACUGCAUAGGGACCCACCAGUGAGAUGGACGCUGUCUGUAAACGAUGACUUCUAGGAAGAAAAGAAAAAAUUCUGAUUAAACAGCCAUAUUCAUGCUGGAAGUCUACACUUUGAAUUUCUUGCACUCCAAGAUUCUAACUGUUGACCAGUUAUCAGCUGACAUUCUAUAUAUGUUUGAUGAGUAGCUGAAUGGCUGAAAAGAUUAGUGCAAACUAAAGAAUUACUAAAGUCCUGAAUGUGAUGUUUGGUUAUGUCUAUAAUUUAUAGAAUUUUCCCUAUUAUUUUAAAUGCUAACAUUUCAUGGAAGUAUAUUUGAAUAUAAAAGAUUAUAAAAUUACUAAUCCAGCAUUUUAAAAAUCCCCUGCUGAAUUUCUUAGAAGCAGAUAUAAAUAAUAUAUUCUCUAGGUAAUUUCAUGUAUUUAUUUUUUUCUUUCAUGUUCUAAUUUUGUUGAGACAAAAGGAGGGCUUUUUCUUUCAACCAAAAUAAUCAGAAAUCUUAUCAGUUUAGUAAUUAGGGAUUGAAAUACAAAGCUAGUGAAGUAAGGCUACAUUGCAAAGUCUGAUAGUGUACAGUAGUUUAAUGUUUAUUUCUCUGGCAUCAUGUCCUCUCUGUAAGAGAAUGUGUUGGAAGGUAAGCACAAAUAGUUUUUUGCUUGACAUGCUGUAUUUCGUCAUGCUGCUAAUUAGCACAAACACUUACUCCAAGAAGUGAAAUCAUUACUUUCUCUGGGAGUAACUGAGAGGUUCUUUGUAGUGGAGAAAAAGCCCAGGUGUCCAGCUUGAAAUAGCAAUUACCACCCAGGUGUCUGUCGUAGUAACAACAAAAUACUUUAGCUAAAAAUCCAAGAAGAAGAAUGGAACUGCUUCAUUCUUUCUAUGUUGGAUGGCAUUCACGAAUAUGUAUUAGUAAAUAAAAUAAUUAUCUCUUGCUGUGUAAAAAACUACUUCAAAAUUUAGCAGCUUAAAACAGCAAGCAUUUAUUAUCUCACAUGGUUUCUGAGAGUCAGAAAUCUGGGAGCAGCUGAGCUGGGUGGCUCUAGCUCUGGACGUCUUGUGAGGUUUUACUCCAGCCGUUGCCUGGACAGUCACCUGAAGCUUAGCUGGGGCUGGAGGGUCUGCUUGCAAGCUCCCUCCUCUGGCUGUUGGCAGAAGGCCUCAGUUUCUCACUAUGUGGGCCUCUCCGUAGGACUGCUUGCAACAAGGCAGCUGGUUUCUCUCAGGGUGAAUUAUGAGAGAGAAAGAGAUAAAAAUUGAACGUCUUUUAUAGCAUAAUACCAUCCCUUCUACUAUAUCCUGUUGGUCACAUUGACCAACUCUGGCACAAUGCAGGAAGGAACUACAAAGAGUGUGAAUUCAGGAGGUGGAGACUAUUGGGGGCCAUCUUGGAAGCUGAUAAUCACCAGGUACUAAACUUGUUCCAGGAAGUACCCCAGGCAUAGAUAAUACAUGUAUGAAUAGGACAAUUUAUUUAUUCCUUUUAUUAGUCUUGUGAUCAAUAGAACAUGUAUUUAAUAUCUACUAUAUGCCAGCAUCUGUGUUACACAAAAGGUAUUCUAAAGUAAAUAAGACAUGAGCUUAUCCUUAUAUUCUGGCGGGAGAGAUAAAUAUGUCAGUAAAUAGACAAUGGUGUUCCACUCUAACAUAAAAGAGAUUACACUAAGUAUUGUAGGGGCAUUUUGGAGAGAGGUUGCGUAGAGAAUGUGCAAAGUUGAGCAAUUGCUCCGAAGUGCAUUUGAGUAGGAUAGACAGAGCGAUUAGCGUUGAGAGCUACAGCCACUCAGUAUUUUAGAAGAAUGAAAUAGCAUGCAUAUAGAUUUACUUUUGCAAAUACAGGUGCAACAGUGUCUCUUGCCCUAUGUGCUCUUCUUCAACGUGACCUGGACAUUUUCCCAUCUAGAAUUGGGAUCUAUUUCUCUGUGCUCUUAAAUCUGAGGGUCUUGGGAACUGCCUUCACUAAUAGACUAUGGUAGAAGUGUUGCCAUGCCUUUUUCUGUUAUAGCCUUUAGCUAGCUGCGCAGUUUCUACUGCCUGCCUCUUGGAAUCUAGCUUCCGUGUAAAAAGUGAGACUUCUUUUAGAUACCCUUGCUGCAAGAAGGUAAGCCAAGUGAAGAAAGCCUGGAGGAUGAGAAGCCACAUGAAGAGAGAGAGAGGUCAAGAAGCCCUAAGGCACCAGAUGUGAGUAAAGAAGCUAUUUUGAAGAAGAUUCUUCCACCCCAGCUGAUGCAAUAUUGAUCAGAAACGACCACCCUUUGGAGCCGUUUCUACAUUCCUUACCCCAAAAAAUCAUUAGCAAAAUAAAAAUGAUUGCUUUUAGCUAUUAAAUUUUGGGGUAGCCAGUUGUCCUGCAAGAGAUAACUGAAAUAAUGAGCAUGUCACAUUACAUAAUUAGUAAACCAUAUAAUGGAGCUAGCCUAAAUUACAGACUGGGGCAGGCCAGCGUGAAGCUGGCACAAAAUUCAAUGAAAAACAAAACAUACUUUCUGUGUUCUGCCAAAUGCUGUUAGGAAAGAGGUGGACACACUCAACUCUUCUGAAUGGCAGAGUGGCAUAAUGAGAUUCGUGAUUAGAGAUGAUCAUACUGGGAGAAAUUCAGAAGAUAAGUGACACGGUGGAGACAUUUGAGGAAAGCGGCACCAUUCUUCUUUUAUUAUUAUUAUACUUUAAGUUCUGGAAUACACGUGCAGAACAUGCAGGCUUGUUAGAUAGGUAUACAUGUGCCAUAGUGGUUUGCUGUACCCAUCAACCCAUCAUCUAGGUUUUAAGCCCCACAUGCAUUAGGUAUUUGUCCUAAUGCUCUCCCUCCGCUUGGCCCCAGCGUGUGAUGUUCCCCUCCCUGUGUCCAUGUGUUCUCAUUGUUCAACUCCCACUUAUGAGUGAACAUUCAGAUGCAGCACCGUUCUUAUACGUGCUCUUGAAAUUGACCAUACAAGGAUGAUGAAGGCAGACAAUGGAAGAGUCACAGCAUAGAGAGGAGCAACACACUUAGAAAAAAUUAGUAAUCAGAAUCACGGAGGUUUGAUUAGGAGAAAGGAGUGAGAGAACAAUUGUUGCAGAUGACUCUACAAUGCUUUGCAAUCGUCUAAGAAAGCAAACACAGGAAAAGGAGUAGCUAUAGUGGGGCAAAGGUGGCUAAUGAGUCGGUUUCAAAUGUGUUGAAUUUGAGGUGCCUAUGGGAUUUUUAAUGACUGCAGUCAAGUAUUGGAAAAGCGAUUGUACUAUGGUUUUACUCUGCCAUCAUUUUCCCCUCUCUCACACUUCCUGAUUAUUUUUAAUAGAGGGCAGCAAUCCAAGAGAUGUUGGUUGCUACUGAGUUCCCACUAAUAGCUUCAUACAGAUUCUCACAUUGUAAUGGUCCUAACAUCCCAACAACCCACUUUUCCCAUUUGGUAUUUUUUUUUUGAUAUCUAAUUACAGGCAUAAGAUCUCAGUAAUGACUGGGUUACAUUUUCUGCUAGACAAAUUAUGGACAUAAUUAUAGGCACAUGUUCAGUAUAAUAUCGAAACAUCUGAUGCUUCUAUAGAGAAGAUAAUUGUCAAUCUUUGUAGUGUAAUUAAGUCUAAAUGGGAAUCCUCAUCAUUUUCCAAAUGAGCAAACAGUGAGCUAGUCUUGAUUGGCUGUGUCAUGGCAGCUAGUGAAAUGGAUUUGCUGUGUAGGUUAAUUAGUCAUGUAUGAAUGUCACAACCCUCAGAAAACUCGACAUUAGCUCUAAGUAUUAGAGUUAAUUAGCAGUACAUUGUUGCAACUCUCCAUGAUAUUUACCUGGCUUAUCUUUGGAAAUCUAGCCUUUCAUUUUUUUUUCCUGAAUCUUUCUUCUCAUAGUGAUUCAGAGCAUUUAAAUUUUCUACCCAUGAAUUCCAAUAAACAUGAGAGAGCACAGGAGCAAGGAUUUACAGUGAAACAGACCUGGGUUCAAAUCCCUUUCAAUUUCAUUCUUACAGUGAACAUUUUGACUAUUUACUGUUAAUAUCUCUCAGUUUCAGUAGUUUAUCCAUAAAUACCUGUUUAAUCUUAUUUUUAAUGCUUUUUUAAAUAAACUUGAGGCAUUCAUAAGUCUUUUCC